rnacentral:rRNA from 1 species
AUGUUCUGAGAUAGCCAUGCACGUCUAGUACAAACUAAAUGAUGGUGAAACUGCAAAUGGCUCAUUACAACGGUUAUGAUGUACCCGGGAGUUCCGAUGGAUAUUUCCAGUAACACUAGAACUAAUACAUGUCCCUGCGUUUAUUAGUUUCGCACAGUCCGUCGCUGAGUCAUGGUAAACAGUUGAUCGACUCGACGUCCCGGAACAGUUUCCGCCCCAUCAGCUUCGAUGGUUGGGUAUUGGCCUACCAUUGCAACAACGGGUAACGAGGAAUUAGGGUUUGAUUUCGGAGAGGGAGCCUGAGAAACGGCUACCACAUCUACGGAUGGCAGCAGGCGCGCAAAUUACCCAAUGCAGACACUGUGAGGUAGUGACGAGAAAUAAUAAAGCGGGACUUCUGUUUCGCUAUUAUAAUGAGGAAUAACCAAAGGUCAUUCCGAUUAGCAACUGAUGGGAAAGUCUGGUGCCAGCAGCCGCGGUAAUACCAGCGUCAGUAGCAU